GGGUGGGAUCAUACCAGCACUAAUGCACC
rnacentral:rRNA from 1 species